GAUGAAGAACGUAGCGAAAUGCGAUACGUAAUGUGAAUUGCAGAAUUCAGUGAAUCAUCGAAUCUUUGAACGCAUAUUGCGCUCUCUGGUAUUCCGGAGAGCAUGCUUGUUUGAGUAUCAGUAAACACCUCAACUUCCAUAUCUUUUUUUGAAAUGGGAGUUGGACUUGAGUGAUCCCAACGCUUUUCCUCACCGAAAAGUGGCGGGUUACUUGAAAUGCAGGUGCAGCUGGACUUUUCUCUGAGCUAUAAGCAUAUCUAUUUAGUCUGCCUAAAAAACAGAUUAUUACCUUUGCUGCAGCUAACAUAAAGGAGAUUAGUUCUUGUGCUGACUGAUGCAGGAUUCACAAAGACAGCUUCGGCCGACUUUGUAAACUCGAUCUCAAAUCAAGUAAGACUACCCGCUGAACUUAAGCAUAUCAAUAAGCGAGGA
rnacentral:misc_RNA from 1 species